UCAGGAUGAACGCUAGCUACAGGCUUAACACAUGCAAGUCGAGGGGCAGCAUUGGAGUAGCAAUACUCAGAUGGCGACCGGCGCACGGGUGAGUAACACGUAUCCAACCUGCCGCUUACUCGGGGAUAGCCUUUACGAAAGAAAGAUUAAUACCCGAUGGUAUAAAGAGUUCGCAUGUUCUCUUUAUUAAAGAAUUUCGGUAAGCGAUGGGGAUGCGUUCCAUUAGAUAGUUGGCGGGGUAACGGCCCACCAAGUCUACGAUGGAUAGGGGUUCUGAGAGGAAGGUCCCCCACAUUGGAACUGAGACACGGUCCAAACUCCUACGGGAGGCAGCAGUGAGGAAUAUUGGUCAAUGGACGAGAGUCUGAACCAGCCAAAAGUAGCGUGAAGGAUGACUGCCCUUAUGGGUUGUAAACUUCUUUUAUAAGGGAAUAAAGUGAGGGACGUGUCCCUUUUUGUAUGUACCUUAUGAAUAAGGAUCGGCUAACUCCGUGCCAGCCGCCGC
rnacentral:rRNA from 1 species